GCGACCAGCUGUCGAGAAGCGGAGGGAAUACGUAGGGUGAGCGAGUGGGCCGGAGGCAUUGCGCGGAAAGGCAGGGUAGGCUGUCAUGGAGGUCGAGGGGGAAAACUGGAGGCUUAACCACGCGAUGUCCUCGGAAACCAUUUGGCGAGAGAGCGGAAGAAGAGAGCGGAAUUCCUGGUGAAGAGGUGAAAGGGGCAGAGAACGAGAAGAACACCGAAAGCGAAAGCAGCUCACUGGUAAGAUACUGACGCUGAGACGCGAAUGCGUGGGGAGCAAACAGGAGUAAGUACCCCAGUAAUC
rnacentral:rRNA from 1 species